rnacentral:rRNA from 1 species
GAUGAACGCUGGCGGCGUGCCUAAUACAUGCAAGUCGAGCGAACAGACGAGGAGCUUGCUCCUCUGACGUUAGCGGCGGACGGGUGAGUAACACGUGGAUAACCUACCUAUAAGACUGGGAUAACUUCGGGAAACCGGAGCUAAUACCGGAUAAUAUAUUGAACCGCAUGGUUCAAUAGUGAAAGACGGUUUUGCUGUCACUUAUAGAUGGAUCCGCGCCGCAUUAGCUAGUUGGUAAGGUAACGGCUUACCAAGGCAACGAUGGGUAGCCGACCUGAGAGGGUGUUCGGCCACACUGGAACUGAGACACGGUCCAGACUCCUACGGGAGGCAGCAGUAGGGAAUCUGCCGCAAGGGGCGAAAGCCUGACGGAGCAACGCCGCGUGAGUGAUGAAGGUCUUCGGAUCGUAAAACUCUGUUAUUAGGGAAGAACAAAUGUGUAAGUAACUAUGCACGUCUUGCCGGUACCUAAUCAGAAAGCCACGGCUAACUACGU